GAAUUUCUGAAGCAGCUUUUGCAGAGAAACGCCUGUUUGCUAACAAAUCAGGAAGUAAAUUUUGUAAACCUGGAAAGUUGGGCCUUGGGGCAGCUGGGGAACCUGCCCGUGGAGCCGGUCUUGUCAUCAUGGUGGAGCCCAUCUUGUCAUCAUGGUGUGUGAAUCUGUUAUUACAUCAGGAGGACCACGCCAUGAGGCAGGCUCUGGUGCCUUGAGAUUCAGAUCCUGGCCUCACGAAGCACAUCUGUAUGACCUCAGGGAACAUCUGUAAAAUGAGGAAUUGUUGCCAAGACCAAUUAAAGACAAGAUCUCAUAUGUGGGUGUGCUUUGUGAACUGCUAAACCUCAUGCAAAUAUAAGAUGGAACUCUUAUUACACAUAAAGGACAGCGUGUGAUCUAAGAGACGGCAGCACAAAACCAUCCAAAUAUCUCUAAGGAUGGCCAGGGUCCUAAACCUUUUGGAUACUCCAACUGGCAGGGGCCAAAUGCAAACACCUCCGUGUGGCAAAUGGAGAGACAGAAGUAAUGAUGGAAGACUGUAGACCAAACUUAGGCCAAAAAUUAGUUCCCAGAAUCCAUGUCCAACAUGGCCUUAGAACGUCUCUGAUGCCACAACGGAAAGAAGAGCCGGCCCAUCCAAGAGGGUAUGGACUUGCCUAGCAGGGUAGGAAGGAGGCAACACUUUGAAGUGCCCACCUGUGCCAGUCUCCAUGCCAGGUGCUUUGUAUAUGUUAUGUUUUCAUCCCUUUAAUAACCAUGGGAACCUGACAACCAACAAAUCAGAGGUUUGAAGGUGGGGGUAACAUGUUAAGGACACGAUGCCAGAAAGGGGCAGGGCCUUGACUUUCUCCAGCUCAGCUGACUGCCUCCUGCAAGGUGGGGGGCUUGCUCUGAAGUCGCACGGGCUGGCCUCUUGAACCUGUUUCUAGCCAGGAGUUCAAACUGUGGGAAAGAGCGAAAGCCUUUGUCUCUUGAAGCAAAGCCUGUUUCUUUAAUUCUGGGAUUGACUUGAGGCCCUUUCUGGGGUUAAUAUGCUGGAGGGCCUAAUGUGGUUGAUCAGAGAAAGUUGCAGGCUGCAGAGGCCAGGAUUGCAAGCCUUAGCGCAGAAAGAAACCUCUAGCUGAGGACAAAGGGACACAGAGGAGAGGCCUUCCUAUAAGCCCCAGAAUGACAGUGGUUUCCUUAAGGAGUUCCAGAGUAGGACCUGGGAACUGAGUGUUGGCAACACUGCCAGGCCAGGAGAAGGUUGUGUGUAUGUGUGUGUGUACGUGUGUGCGUGCAGUGAUUGAUCUGGGGUCAGACGUACCACGGAACUUCUUGAUUUAUUUGCAGCCAGAGAAGACUCCAUCCAUCCAGAUCUAUGUAAACAUGUUUCAAGAGUGACGUGGUCCUUCAGUAAAGGUGCACCACCCCUCAUCCUGAUGGAUGAUGCGAAGAAGUCCUCCACGUGAGGUGUGGGCUCAAUGAGAAGGGAGCCGAGUCUGGAAGAAACCAAGGCAUGGCCCAAGCGUAACCUCUUUUCCUGUGGGGAAGGUUUUCCCAUCCAUGAAAUGGGAAUGAUGACAGCACUUGAUAAUGCCAGCCAAGCUUUUAGUAGAGUGACCUGAGCUGACAGCCAUGGCUCUUCCAAAAUUUUCUGUAUGUUCGUGUUAUUUUUACUCAUUUUUUAGAAGUGUCAUAUGUUUGUGGGGAAUGAAAUACUUGGUCACCAUGUUGUGGCCUUCCUCUUCCUUCCUGUUGGUGCUUUCUGUUCUGAUGUUAAUAGAGCGGCCUGACUCUCUUCUAAUUAGGGCUUGACUAUGUUCUUUCAUCCUUUUACUGUCAACUUUUCUGUUGAAUAUUUUAGGCAUGUUUCUUAGAAAUAGCUCUAAACCAGAUCUUAAAAUACAAUCUGACAAUCUGUCUUUCAACCAGGAAGUUUAGUUCAUGUUUAUUUUUUGUACUCUUUCAGAUAUGUGGACUUGCUUUUCUACCUGAAUUUUUAAUUUCCAGUUUAGCCCUUUUUCAAUGCUUAUUUCUCCUUUCUUGCCAUAUUUUUUGGGGGGCAGUGGUUAUUGCUUUUUAUUCCAAUCUCCCCUCCCCUACUGGUUACAUCCUCUGUUACAUACUCUGUUUCUGCUCUUUUAGCAGUUACUAUUGAAAUUUUACCACGAAUGUUUUCCUUUUCAGACUCUAAAGGUAAUAAAUAUCUAAACUUCCUUCCCCCAAAAUAUGUAGAUCUAUGAGUGCUUUUAACUUCA
rnacentral:lncRNA from 1 species